rnacentral:rRNA from 1 species
GCUCAGAACGAACGCUGGCGGCAGGCUUAACACAUGCAAGUCGAGCGCCCCGCAAGGGGAGCGGCAGACGGGUGAGUAACGCGUGGGAAUCUACCCUUGACUACGGAAUAACGCAGGGAAACUUGUGCUAAUACCGUAUGUGUCCUUCGGGAGAAAGAUUUAUCGGUCAAGGAUGAGCCCGCGUUGGAUUAGCUAGUUGGUGGGGUAAAGGCCUACCAAGGCGACGAUCCAUAGCUGGUCUGAGAGGAUGAUCAGCCACAUUGGGACUGAGACACGGCCCAAACUCCUACGGGAGGCAGCAGUGGGGAAUAUUGGACAAUGGGCGCAAGCCUGAUCCAGCCAUGCCGCGUGAGUGAUGAAGGCCCUAGGGUUGUAAAGCUCUUUCACCGGAGAAGAUAAUGAC